GAUGAACGCUGGCGGCAUGCCUAACACAUGCAAGUCGAACGGGGCACCUUUAAACAAUCCUUUCGGGAUGCGUUUAAAGAAUGCNUAGUGGCGAACGGGUGAGUAACACGUAGAUAACCUGCCCAUCACUUUGGAAUACCUAUUGGAAACGAUAGUUAAUACCAAAUAAGCUUACAUCAUGGCAUCAUGGAGUAAGAAAAGAUUUUAUCGGUGAUGGAGGGGUCUGCGUCCCAUUAGCUAGUUGGUGAGAUAACAGCUCACCAAGGCUACGAUGGGUAGCCGGGAUGAGAGUCUGAACGGCCACAUUGGGACUGAGACACGGCCCAAACUCCUACGGGAGGCAGCAGUGAGGAAUAUUGCACAAUGGGGGCAACCCUGAUGCAGCAAUGCCGCGUGAAGGAAGAAGGCCCUUGGGUUGUAAACUUCUUUAGCUCGGGAAGAAUAAUGACGGUACCGAGAGAAUAAGCCCCGGCUAAAUACGUGCCAGCAGCCGCGGUAAUACGUAUGGGGCAAGCGUUAUCCGGAUUUACUGGGUGUAAAGGGUGAGUAGCCGGCCUUACAAGUCAUAUGUGAAAUCUUUGGGCUUAACCCAAAAACUGCAUAAGAAACUGUAAGGCUAGAGUAUCGGAGAGGUUAGCGGAAUUCCUAGUGUAGCGGUGGAAUGCGUAGAUAUUAGGAGGAACACCAGUGGCGAAGGCGGCUAACUGGANNAAAACUGACGGUGAGUCACGAAAGCGUGG
rnacentral:rRNA from 1 species